AGUAAUUUUAUAAAUUGGUAUCCUGCUUCAGAACCAUCGUCCUAGGUUUUAAUUAAAGUUCCACUUUUGCUAAGUCAGAGGUGAUCAAAAAUUAUGAAAUAUGCUAUUGUACCCUAUAAAUACACUCAGUGAUUGUACUUGAGAUUUGAAUUGACGUAUUUCUGCUCCACUUUACCCAUUUAUUUUCUUUGUUUCAUUGUUCAAUGCUAAUUGACUAAAAGCAGUGGGGACAACGGGCACAAAUUCCUGACAUACUUUUGGAAAUAUUUGAUACAAAAGUACACGUAACCCGGUAACAGUUACUGUGUCGUUGCGUUCAUUAUACAGUUACGCGUUGAGUGAUUCAUACAGUCUUCUUUGCACUACAUGCAGUCAUAUUUUAGGUCAUACAUUACAAACACUCUUCCUAAAUAAAUAAAAUAUAAAUUCAUGCUUUGGAAAUGCGACUGACUGUAUAGAUGGUAUAUUUACCUAUUAUCUGGUUAAUGUUGAGAGCUCUGUUAAGGGCCUUCUCCAUGCACGAUUCAUUCUCGAGAGGAAUGCAAACAUACCUACUCGAGAUGGAGUACGUCACUACAAUCACGUAAUCAUUGGAACACGUGUCGAAUGGAGAUGUUCACGAGCAAUUGAAAUAUUUCCAUGCGUAUCUAAUGACCACCUUUAACCCUACUGCCACCUGUAAAAAUGAUUCGAAAAUGGGGAGAAUGAAUAGAAUACAUAUGAAUUAUAAUUGUGCGAAAAUGCCACACUUUGCUCCGAGAAUAGAAAUGUGUUUAUUGCAAUAUAGGCGGUAACAAAGAAAACGAAACGUGAAAGGUGUUGCGUCUAGUACCCUCUAGAAGAUUAAUUGCCUUAAUGGCGAGUUAGCGUGAUCAUGCUGUUGUGUUAUCGGAAUGCAAAGUUUUAUUUAUGAAUCCGCGGGAAUGUUUAUCAAUAUUAGAGAAUUAUUCCAGUUGUACUUUGAUAUAUUGGAUCAAGUCUCAUAAUUCUAAUAACAUGAUGCGUGUUCUAGGUUGCCACCAGAGGUUAAACUUAGUUCUGUAACAAUGUCAAGUAAAUGCAGAUAUUCAUUUAUAUCAAAGAAGAGCUUAUUGUGUAAUAUACAAAACAAAACAAUUUCAGACAUCCAUCAAUCCAGGGGCGUUGCUAGCCAAGGUAUUAAAAUAAGGAAUAAAAGCCAAAAGAAUAAGAAAAACGAUUUCCGAUCUUCAAAUAUGCGAUGAACAGGUAAACAAACUAACAAGCAAACAAAAUGGACUAUCGAAACUCAAAAUUGUCGACAAGGCAUUAUGAAAAGAAAAGAUAUUAAGCCCAUUUACAAAGCCCGAAAACUAUUUUGAGGUUCUCUUUCAUUUGAUAUGCCGAUGUGCCUUGGAGAAAAUUUAUGUUUGUCGAUCAUUUUUUCCCGGGGAGGGGGUUCACAUCUCUCCCUUAAAGCGGCGCCCCUACAUAAGUCCCCUUUCAAUCAUCAUUCGAAAAGUCAAUGUGGUGCAGUAGAGUAUAAGGUUAAAUUCCCCAUUUUUUAAAUACCAUAUGUUGGCAUUUGCUAUAUACAGGAACCUGAUUUGGAUGCGAUUAAGUUGUGUUUUUGGAUGACAAUAUCGUCAAGUAUUCCCACUUUUACGGCCAGUUUUUCCUCCAUGCCAAUCGCGAUCUCACCUCAGGCUUCAAUCAUCUCUAUGCGUGUGUGCGCGAGUGUUCAAUUUGUGUGUGUGUGCGUGCGUGUGUGUGUGUGUGUGUAUAGAGUCAUGCCAGAUCCCAGUUCUGUCUAUGUUUUCCUCGGAUACAUGUUUACCCCAAAUCUGCCCGUUUCUUUCUCCUCCCAGGCUACAUCAUCAGUGUAAUGAAGUCCCGCGGCAGGGCUUAGCAACUUAUUACGUUUCCUCCCCCAAUUGAUAUCCAUACUCCGAAUCGAUAAUCUAUGCAAAUAGAACUAUCUGCUGAUUUAAGUUCUCCGAGAUUUUGCUCGCUUUCUCUGAUUUUGUUCUACCCUCCUAUGUAUCGCUCUUGACAAAUGUGGUGAUUCUCCUUCUCUAUGUUUAGCUCAAACGAAGAUGUAUAUUUUUCUUCAUUAUGUGAUUGAUAGGUAGCUUAUAACAGAUGAUUGAAUUAAUUCCUCUUGAUUAUGGUGGAGAAAGUGGAAUUUCACAAUUUGCAUAAUUUCGAUCAAAAUUCAGCAGUUUUCGCCACAGCUGCUUAUAUCUUCGACGAUAAUCCCGAAAUGAAUGCGCGGUAAUCAUUGAAUAUCAAGAAAUCAAACCACUGACUGUUUAACUUUUCACAAACUGAUCUCGAGCAACAGGAAAAACAUGUUAUGAGAAUAAGAAAUGCAGAAAAGAUAACCAAUGCAGAAAUAUUAGGUUAUUAGGAUUACAGGGAGGAGCUGUAUAUGAGAUUAUAUUUAUACGAUUUCUGAUACAUGAAUAAUGUUUCCCGAGUAUUUAUCCCUCUACUCGUGCUUACAUUGUGUACAUUUUCUUAUUCAGGCUUAUUUGUAAAUUAUUUGUGGUAUAUAAAAUAUUUCUCGCUACAAGUCCUUGCAAACCCCUUUUACUAUACAUGCAUAGGCAAUUGAGUAAUGGUGAUUCUAUCAUUGUGUAGUACGCAUAGAUUGUGUCAUAAAUAUUGUGUCAAUAUGCUUCGGGACCUGCCAAUAAUGCAUUUUGAAGAAAUGUGUGCUGUUUUAUAUAGGCAAAACGAAUUUUGUAUGUUUAUCAUUCAAAUAAAAAAAAAAUGAUAUAAUCUUGGACUGUAAUCAGUUCAGGAUUGAAGUAAAUUCUCACUACAUUUGAUAUUUUCUUUGCUUACAUACUAAACUGAUUUUCUUUCCGCCUAUUUUGCAAAUGAACUUUCUGCCGAGCAGAAAAUCAAAUUGGCGACUAACAGUGUUUAGAGGAAGUGUAUGAAAAUAUUGUGAUAUUAGAUGAAAUUCUUGAGGGAAUCCGUGUGAUGGUGUUUCUUUUGGGGGGCCUCGAGUUGCCAGUCUCUUCAGGCAUAGCUCCUGGGGUAACCCGACCGCUUGGUUCGCAGUCAAGAUCGAUACGUAAGCCUCAUUAAAGGGUUUUCAAAAACCGCAGUGGACCCGGGCAGUGCGAUUGCUCCUCCGAAUUACGUUUUUAUUUCAGGCGUACCCCUUGUUUGACGGUUCCCGCUAAUUACGUUAUAACGCGAUUGGAUGUUCGUUAUUGCAUUAUUCGGCGAUUAUUCGUUCAUUUACGCUGAUUAAAGUGCCCGUGUAGGACGUAUUAUGUGACGUUUAAUAGCAUUGGAUUCGCGCGCUGAUUUCCCUGAGGUUUUUGAAGGGGCGCUCCCCCACUCAAACCGCGCAAUCCAUCCGUGUAUACUUGCGCCGACCACGAAACGCAAAGCAGAAACCAACAAGACAUUGCUCCAUGACACUAUUGGAUAAUUUGCCUUUUCAGGGUGUUAUAUCUUUCCGCUGUCCCUUUUUGAUUGUUUCCUUCUUUGUGGCAUUGUGUUACUGAAUAGCUCUCCCUACUGAAUUAGACAGUGUCACGCGGUGUGCAAUCUCUUUAGCUUUAAACGGGCGCGCGCGCAACUCGAGAAAGCUCCCCCGAUGGGACGACGCCACCACAAAGAAUGAAAGGAGGAAACCGCAUCUUCAAAUUAUAAAGCCUCAGUUUUGAUAAUCGAAUUAUCAAGUGUUAAUCCGACUUUUCUCAAUAGUAUGUACUUAGUAUCAUCAAUGCGAAUCAAAACGCCUUUAAGAUUCAAUUAAUUUGCAAUUUCUGGUCUCGGUUUGCUUGCGGGCUGGAGCCUAGCUGCGGGAUUUUACGCAUUAGCUAAUGUAAUUUUCCCUAAGCGUUGCGUCUCUUGGAGGGGGAGUUAAAUCUAAUAAGUCCGUUUCUCGCAUGCAGUGAAACAUAUCGCUUCAGUCGGCAGUUCGUAGUGAGCCUUGUGCCAUGAACCGUUUUGGCUUGAAAUUUAUCCAAUCCGUAGUUGUGAUUAGAAAAAUAAAUUUCAUUCUCUUGUUUUCUGUCGGUCCCUUUCCCCUCACUGCCUAUCAUCACCGUCUUUUUGGUCUGGUUUACUUAUUUCAUAUCUACAGCAGAAAGUGUUUGGAUCAUUUACAUUCAGUUAUGACUUAUUCCUAGGCAUUACUUUGUUGAAUGUCUACCGAGGUAAAUUUGUUUAUGUGAUAAGGUAAAUGAAGAAUUUGCACCGAAUAUAAAAUUCAAGUUCUUCUUAAAGUGAAACAUGAUAAUUUAUGUGUUCACUUUAAGCGCAUAGAUAAACAUAUUUUAAUCUUUAAAAACCAUCAAAAUGUCGGACUAAAGGCCAUGACAAUAACCGGUAUGGGUUUUAGAGAAAAUUGUGCCUUGAAACCCACACUGUUUUUUAAUGCAAAUUGACGUUUUGAGACAUGUUUUGUGAUUAUUGGUAAAGAUGUCCACAAAAUAAUUUACAAACCAUGAUAUUUUAUUUUGAUUACCACUAGAUAAUUAUCACCCCCCUCUCUUGCAAUUUCAGUCAUUUGUAUUUCAAGAGUUUUUUUUCUCUCACAUAUCCCCUACUUAUUGGGCUGUGUGCCGAGUUCAAUAUUUAAACUAAUUAAUGGUGCAAAUUGUUAUAUUAAUACAAAAAUGUUAUUUUUUGGCCAAAAAAUAUCAUAAUUCUUUAUCUGUUUGAUAAGCAGAUCACAGCUUCAUGCCAAAUUAUCCUUACGGCUGCCACACUAAAUUAGACAUAGGGCAAUCAGUCGUAAAUAGAUGGUCUCUUUGUAUCUUGCGAAAUUAAAUAUGCCAUUCAUCAUGUUUAUCAUCCCCCUAAUUGUGUUGUAGAGAGUGGGAUGAAGCCCCAUCUUCUGUCAUAUUCUCCCUCAAUUAUCGCCCGUGGUGCAAGUGUUUUCUAUACCUUUUCUAUUCCCCACCGACUUUGAGAUGAUGUCGAAGAGGGAAAACGGGCGUUACGCGCUCGUUCUCGCAACCAGUGAUGCGCAUAGUUACGGUACAGACACGUGUCAAAGCCUCGCUUUGCAGCUACCGGGCUAGAGAGUUAGAAGGAAAAAAAUGGUGGAACUGUCUUGACUUUAAAAAUACAGUUCUGCUACCAUUGCUUUCUGAGUAAUGGUGUGGUUGCCCACUGAAGAACAACAAUUCAUCACGUGCAUGCUAUUCACGUUUAUAAUGAAGCACGGAUGGAUGAAGUAUGUAUCUCUCGGCACCAGUCUCAUUUAUGAUGUUGCAAAGUUUAUUGGAGAGGCGAUUACGGUGGUUAAUCGGGUUUAAUUUGGGCGCGAUCAACUUGGAAGUUCGGUGACGUUCAUCUUUCUGUUCAGUCUGAGAGCUCUUUGUAGAUUCAGAUUGAGGACCUAAUGUUAAAAGUUUGACAUGGUUCGUGGACAUGAUUAAUAGAACGUGGUAGCGUAUUGUUGUAUAUUUUUUGUGCACGAUUGAAAUUCAAAGGUUUAUGUACAUGCAUAACUAUAUGGGCUCUAACGUUCUACUGUUAUUUUAAUCAACUACAUAACAUACGGAUAAUAUUGACUAAGGAUGAAAUUUAUUCAUCACAGUUGGUUGGUCAAAUUAUGGUGAUGAUUACAGAAAGCGAUCAGUGAAAGAUAAACUCACAGGAAAAUUACGUAAACUCAAUCCAAAAGAAUAUGUUCAGUCAUCAAUGUAUUAAAGAUAUCUUCGGCAAUGUUACGUUUUGGUGUUUUCUGAUUUGUCCGAAGGGAGUGGGAGGGGAUCUUUGAUGUCUUUAAUGGAAUUAUUUAAUUACCUUAUUUUUCUUCAGUUCACUGUAAUGCCCUUUUUAUUAUUUAUUUUGAAGAAAAUCAGAUGAUCGCUAAAACAAGAUUGUUUCCAAGACAACGCAUCCAAUAUAUACGUAUUAUUUGACACAGUGCAAUUGCUCAAAGAAGAGACAAGUUGCACCUAACCACUCAAUCCAAUAAAGAGAUAUGUGGUAUAAUGGACGACAAAAGCUACAGUUGCAUACUAAUUCAUGAUUUUCCUCUCUUUUCAUGAAAUUGAUGUUAUAGAGAGCGACCAUCCGUGACCAAAAUAUUCAAUUGUGUGCGGGUACCCGCGCGGCAGUUGUCAACUUCAAUACUCGGUAGCAAGUGCAGCGUGCCUGCCUGAAAAAUCCCCUGGAAAUGGAAGGAGGAAUGAAUGUUCGAUCUCGUAAUGAUAGCAGGCUUCACAGACAGAGAGAGAGAGAGAGAAAAAAAAGGAUGAUUUGAUAACAAGAAAUUAUAAUAUAUUAUAUAAAACGUAAUAGAAUUUUUGAAGUUUUACUCGAGGAAUUGAUGAAUGAUGCUGACCUUUCUCGCAUACCAGUUAACAAAACGUCUAGUGGUCAAAGUCGCCAAAUUCUCUGGUAAUACACACAAAAAAGUAAAGGCAUUUCUAUUGAUAGUGGAAAAUUAAAAUGCUCUACCUUAUUCUAUAUUUCAUUAAUGUCGUGAAGACAAUGUAAAACAAAAAAUGCAGCUUCAUUCGAAUAAAAUUAUGCUGCCCCUGAUUGUAAAAUAACUCCUACCCCAAAAACGCAUUUAUUCGCCGUUUUUGGCUAUAUUGUGAGAAGAAUUUUAGGGGGAAAAGGGUUUCAUUUAAUUGACUUGGGGAAAUUUCAUCGCUAAACGAUGGCACCAUUAAUUUAUGCGAAUUGCAUAGAUAUUGAUAGCGAAGAAUGAAUUUUAAAUCCACCCCGAAGGAUGUCUAUCAUAAAAAUAUUUGAUUUAUGGAUGUCUUGAGUGCACCAUCACCACGCGUCUCAAAAUCCCUGCUUUGCUUCUUAGCCCAAAUUGAGUCGUCGUUUCUACUCACCUUAUUAAAGGUACGAGCCCGCGAAUUCAAGUGUUCUUGAUGGCAUGCUUGUCAUGGGGAACUGGUAUCAUAAAUAAACAAUAAGUCUAUUAGAUAGGUUGUGAUAUUUUCAACAUGUUGAUGGUGAAUUCUUCCACGAAAUAAUGAUAUUCAAGCGUUUCUAAUUGCUGAUGCUGUAUACAAACAAUUCAACAGAAAGGUUUUUACUUUCACAUGUUCAGUGACAAGUAUCUGUUUUUCUAAAUGAUUGUGAAUACUAUUUUAUUCUUUUAACUAUAUUUUCACUUAAAAUCUCUAAUCACAAACUAAAAAGAUCAUUGAUAUCUUCAGGCUAGUAGAUUAUUGUUUUUUAAACGGAUUAAGCAUCUAAAUCAAGUCUUAUUCAUGAAAGCCGGCACCUAUUAUUAAGAACCAUAAGUCCUUUUUUAUUUUUUUAUUGAUCAAAACAUGAACUUACUACAUCGGGUGAAAUUAACACCAAACUGAUCACCAUCCUUUAAACAGUGGCAUGGCUAGUCAUGUUUCCUUCUAAAUCGGGUCUACUUUAUUUCAAUAUUUGGUACCAUGGUGCUUGAGGCGCACAGACGGCGUAGGAUAAUCCUACCGUGUACUGGAAAUCAGCCCUGAUGGCUUUCCAAACGACGGUGUAUAAGCCGUGACGGAAAAGAGGGUCGAAAAUCGGACGGGGCUGAGGGCGAUUUUUGAGACAAGGAAAGAAGGGGGUGGGAAUGGUAAAGAUGAAAAUUAAGGUUUGAUAAAGACAACGGAAUCUACAUGAAAAUCAAUGCUGCUAUUAAACUAUAUUUCAUCAUCAUGAACGGGUUGGUAGUUGUUUUUAAAUGAGUAUUCAAGAACAUAUACAAUAUUUGUACAGGGGGAAUUGGGAAGGAUAUUAUAAACAUGACCAAUACCGGAUUUGAUAUUAUUUACCAAUCGCAAUUACAAUUAUUAGAUGGUGCUAAGCCGUCCUCUGCAUAAAUAUGUGGCGAUUUGCGAUUGAUGUUGAAGGAAACAAGGUGUAUUUCAUAUUCAAAUUAAUUUAAUUUAGUUUAUUUAUUUUAAAGUCCAUUUCAAAGUACUUUAAAAUCUUUUAAAAAAUUUCUAUGACAGAUUAGUAUAUUUCCAUUUCUUUGUUCAUUUGUGUCGUUUUUGUGACAGUUUUGAAUAUUAACAUGUAUACGAAUGGGAGAAAAAAUGUAACAAAGAAUUUGAUAAAAAGAUAAUUGAAUACAUUAAUCAGACCUGCAGAAAUUAGAAUUAUCCACUCGGUUGCACUUGGAAUGGUAGGUCGUUCUGUGCAAUCACUUCUACCAAUUAGUCAAAAAAUAUUUAUCCUCACAAAUGGACUAAUACACUUAAUUUGGGUGUUCGGUUGUUCCCCCGUUCCUCAAGUUUAAAGACCUAUUCACUCGAUGUCACAAACCAAAAAUAUAAUUGACUUUAUACAUGGUUUAUCUGCCUUAAGAGCGAGAGGGGUAACUCCGUAUACAUUUCAUUUCGAGGUUCCGCGGGGGGACUGAAGAGUUGAACGGUAUUCAUAAAUCAAACGCCGUGAUCGCAUUAGCUCUCUGAAGGGAACGGGGGAUUAAAAUACAGAUCUGGCAGUAAUGAAUUUGAUUAAUGUUUCGACACAACUGUAAGAAAACAAAAGAUAUCAAAAUGCUACCAAGUCGACCUAACUUUUAGUAAUUACGGAUAUAAAUCUGUUUUCGUAAUUGUAGCAGAAAAUAGCAAAAUAUAAAACUAUCAAUCAUGAAGAAAGACUAUAAUUGAAUCCAGAUAGUUUUCAAUUUCUUUUGCUCUGGCCAGAUGGAAAAUAAUAUUCUACAUUUUAUUUAUUUCAAAGGGAUUUCGCAUUGUGCUGGUGAGUGUAUGUAGAGCCAGAUGUGUAUUUUGAUAUGUUACGAAUAUGAAGUUCGAAGUACCAUAUUUUACGACAUUAAGGUGAGAAUGGAACCGUUAACACGAAUGUCAAGUACAUUAUACAGCGGAGCGGAACAUGGGCAUUUCUUUGUCCAUGUAUCGGUUAAAUAUUGAAAAGUUCAUAUUAAAGAUACGUCUAUUAAUAUUGAAAGCUUUCUAAAACAAAUUUAUGAAAAGAAAAAGAAGUUCAGAUAUUUGGGCGUGCAACAUUUCGAAUAUAUAUUAUUUGCAGGUUGAUCCUCUCAUUUUAAGAAUCAAGAAUAAUGAAGCUGCUUUUCAUCAAUAAUGCUGCUUGUCUUAGUUCUUUCCAAAAAAAUAAUUUUCCACACGCCACGAGUUUUUAUUGUCUUCUAAUUCGUCAUGACAGACGAAGAUUAAUUCUUUACGAGUGACGCCAGCACCAUCACACAAAACUGCAUCUUCGAACAAUGAGGGGAUGUGGAGUUGCUCCGAGUUGAUAAAUUUCCGUGUAAACGAUACCGUGAAAUUAAUUUUCGCAUUUUGACAGUGAAGAGCUACAGCGGUUCAUUUUGGUGUAAUUGAUGCCGCCAUAUCAUUUUAACUUGAGCGGUGAAGAAUUUGAGCUUCUUAGAUCUGACAUACUGUCGUAAUUUCCUUUCACUGUGUAGCUUCAAACUCUCUAUCUUCCUCGCAUGAUUUAUAUUCUUUUUCUUUUCUGAUUGUUAUUGGAGGCCAGAAUUGAAAGGGAUAAUGAUCUUCAAAACAAAACGAUGAAAGGCACCGUCAGCUGUAUACCUCUUCUUGAAAUCAGCAGCUUUCCUUUUAACGAAGUUAUGGGUUUAAAUGUUAGAGUAUCGACAAUAUCAAGUGUCUGCAAAUAUUGUAAUGACAAAAUCAACAUCUUAUAAGAUAAUCAUCUUGAAUUCCUUUCUGAGAAACUGCGAUGAUAAACUCAUCCGUGGAGUGGACAUUUGACGAUAUUUGCAUUGCCUUGCGUCUUAAGUGCCACACUCGUCUUACUCACGUGUACCUGGGUAUUAUAAGCACAUUUACUCCCUUACAAACGGAUAAAAUGAUAUACCAAAAGGGCGAUCAUGCAUUGAGAUGCAUGCUGCAUUUUUUCUCUCCCAUACAUCAAAUUGGAUUUUCAACUCGGGCCGAAAUAAUCGGUUUAGUCAGCCAAACGUUUUUGCCACUCCGUGAGCGAGCUGUGAAUUAAUGAAGAAGUCUAGUCCCAUUCUCUCAGCGUCGUUGUCAUCCGUGAAAAUGAUUACUUUUACAGCCUACCAAUGCGGUGGUGUGGCAAUGGCAUUGCAAGGUCAAAAAAGCAACAAUAUUUUUCAUAAUCGGGAUGAUGUCUCGAGCAAUAACAGUAAUAUUCUCAUUUUUGUAAUCUAAUUGCUUUGUACAAUCGUACUGUAUUUGAACCUUUUCUUUAGAGAAUGCCAAAUGAAUGAGUAACAUUGUCACCUUAUGCGAUGACCUGUCCAGCUGUAGCUCAGAUAUUUGAAACACAUUCUUUAAAUAUUCUUUACAAAUUGUAGAUAUAUAUACCAACAUAAAAGGUUCGAAGAUCACUCUCUUGUCAUUCAGAUUUAGAUAUCCUAAUUUUACAAUAAUUCAAAUAUGUCGCCCAAAAUGCACGGUUUCAAAUUUAAUCAAAAUAUGAAAUGUUUACCUCUUUUUCUCUUCCUAUCAAUGAAAUUGAAAAUGUUUCCUGAGAACACACAUAAUGGGAAAAAUCGUAACUCUGCCAAAAUGCAAAAAUAAAUAAAAGUUGUUCUCCUUGCAUACCUUUAGGCAGGUAGCUACCAUGACAUACCUGCAGCAGUAGAUGCUGCUGCAUGAGGCCAGUCUAUUAAACUAAGAAUCAGGGGUUGAAUGAACGAGAAGACUUGGUUAAGAGUGGUUUACGGGGAGAGGGUAUAUCAUGCCAAUUUAGGGGAUCAAUGGCUAAUAAAUGAAUGGGAUAAUGGAAAGAGACGGGUAUUCAAAUGAGCUGAGGUGACUGUGAGUGGUAGAAAUGACAUCCAGGAUCCAGAGUUCCUUUGAUGGAUACAGACUUUAAGGAAAAAAGGGGGAAAGGGGGUAUAGAAAAGGAAUCUGACCAGGCCUGUUUGUUAGACAUUCAUAGAUGUGAUACUCUUUUAUCAUUCAUUUUUCGAAUAUUAAUUUUUUAAUACGGUAAUCAUGCGCGAAUAUGUUUUAAAAGAUUCCGAAUCGGUCAAUUGAUAUUUUUUGUCACGCGCAAACACAUUUAACUUUAAUAUUUCCGAUUUUUCAUGAAUAGAAAGGUAUUCUAAAUUGGUAUCUUAUGUUCCAUCGUCUUCAGACUUCAGAUUGUAAUUCGGGCCUUUUUUUUCUUUUUCAAUAAUCACCUGAAGAUUGUCAAAAUGGGUUAUUGUCGGUGAUUGCAGACUGUUAGUCGUUCUGCCACACAAACUGCUAUACACAUCAUGAAGAUGAUUCAAUUUGAAAUAAGCAAUAUUCUAUUGUUUUUCCUAAUAAUUUUAGAUACAAAUGAUGUACUCUGGUUUAAAUAAAUGAAAUGAACAUGAAUCUUAACAUUAUACAAUUGUUCUAAAACCUUUCCAUGGAAUUACCAGUUUCUGCAUAAAACCCAGUAUGGUACAGCCAUGCUUAGCAUUUCCCAUCUUAGAUAAACAAAAAGGAGGUUUGACACACCUUCAUGUGUCGUUGGACCCUUAUUUGCUAAUGUGCAAUAUUUUGCAUUGAAUUCAUCAAGCCUUUUAUAUUUAAUCGGGCUUGAGUUGGUUCGUAAUAAUAUACGGCGAUGAUGUCUUGGUAACGGAAUUACCCAUGACAAGAAGCAAAGUGGGUAUAAUUGGGGAGACGCGUGCCGUUUAUGAAGACAUCAACGAAACAUUUCCACAACGUCCCAACAACGCGUUCCUUAUAACCUGAUGCUAUCCAGAACCUGGUCACAGUCAGAAGGGUGUUGAAUCAAAAUAUUUGCUUGUACAUAGAGCGAACGCCCUUAGGCGCUCAAGCAGUCGAGAUACCUUCACAGGUUCUUUUCGGGUCCAUACAUCUUAGGGUCUUCCUGUUUAGUCAUAUACUGCUCUUUUUUUACCUCUUGAAAUACAAUGAUUUAGAGAAAAUUGUAGAAUAUAAUCCAAUCUUAAAAUGCAUGCCUGAAAGGGAGAACAUGAUUAAGCGAAGUACGUAAUUUAUUUCAUUAACCUCAUCUUGCAAAGAUUUGUUACGUACUUAUUACCCGUCCCUGUUGCUUUCAGACUAAUCCAAUACAAUUUCAAGUGUUUUUCUUCUUCUCCUGCUUCGAGACUGCUCUGUCAAUGUUUAUCUUCCAAGAUAUUGAGUAUAUUGUUUUGUGGAGAGCGAGGAGAGCCCAUUUUCGUUACCCGCUCGAAAUUGGCCGUAUGCGUUGGGAUGCACAGCGCCAUAA